GUUAAAGUUUUAUAGGGUUCCGUAGUUUAAAUAACUGGUCUGGUCCAAGAUAAAACGCAUAGUUUUGCUGUGUACACGGAAGGAUAAAAGCCUGGGAGAU
rnacentral:sRNA from 2 species